rnacentral:rRNA from 1 species
AAAAAUGCAAUUAAAUCUAUUAUUUAAUAUUAAUCAUUAUGAAAAUUUAUAGUUUUAAUUAAAAAUUUAUUGGGUGAAAUUUUAAGUUUUUUAAUAAAUUAUUAAAAAAAUUAAUAUUUAAGAAAUUUUAAUUUAGACUAGGAUUAGAUACCCUAUUAUUAAAAAUGUAAAAUAUUGUUAGAUUAGUAUUAGUUAUGUUCUUGAAAAUUAAAAAAUUUGGCGGUUUUUUAGUCUAUUCAGAGGAACCUGUUUUAUAAUCGAUAGUCCACGAUUUCAUUGACUUUUUCUUUUAGCUUGUAUAUCGUCGUAGUUGGAAUAUUUUAUUAGAAUUUAAAUAUUCAAUUUUUAAAGUUUAUUUUAAAUCAGAUCAAGGUAUAGUUUAUGAAAAAGUAAAAAUGGGUUACAGUAAUUUUAUUUAGGAAUUAUUUUUGUGAGAAAAAUAUGAAUUUGGAUUUGAUAGUAAUUUUUUAAAAAUUUUUAAAAUGAUUGGAGCUCUAAAUUAUGUACAUAUUGCCCGUCGCUUUCAUUCUAAAGUGAAAUAAGUCGUAACAAAGUAGGCUUACUGGAAAGUGAGCCUAGGAGGAGCAAGAUAGAGCUUGAUUAAAAAGCAUUUUAUUUACAUUAAAAAGUUAAUUGUGAAAGUCAAUUUUUCUUGAUUUAAAAAAAUUAUUGAGUUAGUUAUAGGGGGAUAAAUAAUUAAUAAAAAUAAUUUAAUUUAUAGUAUAAUUAAGAAAAAAUUAUUUUAAUUAUAGAAAAUUAGGUAUUGUGAAAGAAUUUUUUAAAAAGGGGGAAAGAAAAUUCUUAAU